CGUGUAGGCGGUCUUUUAAGUCUGAUGUGAAAGCCCCGGGCUCAACCUGGGAACUGCAUCCAAAACUGGCAAGCUAGAGUACGGUAGAGGGUGGUGGAAUUUCCUGUGUAGCGGUGAAAUGCGUAGAUAUAGGAAGGAACACCAGUGGCGAAGGCGACCACCUGGACUGAUACUGACACUGAGGUGCGAAAGCGUGGGGAGCAAACA
rnacentral:rRNA from 1 species